rnacentral:rRNA from 1 species
UACGGAGGGUGCAAGCGUUGCUCGGAAUCACUGGGCGUAAAGCGACCGCAGGCGGUCUGACAAGUCGGAUGUGAAAGCCCUGGGCUCAACUCAGGAACUGCAUUCGAAACUGGCAGACUCGAGUUCGGUAGGGGAGUCUGGAAUUCCUGGUGUAGCGGUGAAAUGCGCAGAUAUCAGGAGGAACACCGGUGGCGAAGGCGGGACUCUGGGCCGAUACUGACGCUGAGGAGCGAAAGCGUGGGGAGCAAACAGG